AGAGUUUGAUCAUGGCUCAGACUGAACGCUGGCGGCAGGCCUAACACAUGCAAGUCGAACGGUAACAGGAAGCAGCUUGCUGCUUUGCUGACGAGUGGCGGACGGGUGAGUAAUGUCUGGGAAACUGCCUGAUGGAGGGGGAUAACUACUGGAAACGGUAGCUAAUACCGCAUAACGUCGCAAGACCAAAGAGGGGGACCUUCGGGCCUCUUGCCAUCGGAUGUGCCCAGAUGGGAUUAGCUAGUAGGUGGGGUAAAGGCUCACCUAGGCGACGAUCCCUAGCUGGUCUGAGAGGAUGACCAGCCACACUGGAACUGAGACACGGUCCAGACUCCUACGGGAGGCAGCAGUGGGGAAUAUUGCACAAUGGGCGCAAGCCUGAUGCAGCCAUGCCGCGUGUAUGAAGAAGGCCUUCGGGUUGUAAAGUACUUUCAGCGGGGAGGAAGGGAGUAAAGUUAAUACCUUUGCUCAUUGACGUUACCCGCAGAAGAAGCACCGG
rnacentral:rRNA from 1 species